UGGGAGGGCAAGUCUGGUGCCAGCAGCCGCGGUAAUUCCAGCUCUCAAAGUGCAUAGAAUUAUUGCUGCGGUUAAAAAGCUCGUAGUUGGAUCUGUGCCAUAGGACGGGGUCCACCUUCGGGUGCGUACUCUGCUCCUAGGCUUUUUGCUGGUUUUCCCGUCCUAUCCUUCACUGGUUGCGGCGGGUGGCUGGGCAGUUUACUUUGAAAAAAUCAAAAUGCUCAAUACAGGCGUCUUGCUUGAAUGAUUGUGCAUGGAAUAAUAGAAAAGGAUUUCGGUCCCCUUUUAUUGGUUUUGUGGACUGAGAUAAUGGUUAACAGGGACAAACGGGGGCAUUCGUAUCUCUGCGUGAGAAGUGAAAUUCUUGGACCGUAGCAAGACCCCCUACUGCAAAAGCAUUUGCCAAAA
rnacentral:rRNA from 1 species